UAGGGGAUGUCAGAUUUGUGCCAAAUGGCAAAAUUUGGUGAAGAGAGAUAAUGUAAAAAUGGGAGAGAUGCUUUAUUUGACGUGGCACAAAAAACGGAUGAGAAUCCUCCUCCACCGACGACAGCACACCCCAAGCGGCAACACGCCGCCAUAAGUGGGCAACGGCACACUGCCUGAGGCAGUAGUGUGCCUCACCCGCCCAGUGCGCGCUGCAAGCCUAGCCUACAGGCGUUGGGCUACCACGU
rnacentral:lncRNA from 1 species